rnacentral:rRNA from 1 species
UACAGAGGUCUCAAGCGUUGUUCGGAUUCAUUGGGCGUAAAGGGCGCGUAGGCGGCGAGGUAAGUCUGGUGUGAAAUCUAGGAGCUUAACUCCUAAACUGCACUGGAUACUGCUUUGCUUGAGGACUGGAGAGGAGAUUGGAAUUCACGGUGUAGCAGUGAAAUGCGUAGAUAUCGUGAGGAAGACCAGUGGCGAAGGCGGAUCUCUGGACAGUUCCUGACGCUGAGGCGCGAAGGCCAGGGGAGCAAACGGG